GUUAUAAUAGUUUAAAAAAACAUUGGUCUUGUAAACCAAAAUUAAAUAUCACUAUUUUUAUAACUUUUUUU
rnacentral:tRNA from 1 species